rnacentral:rRNA from 1 species
GUGUCAGCAGCCGCGGUAAUACAGAGGUCUCGAGCGUUGUUCGGAUUCAUUGGGCGUAAAGGGUGCGUAGGUGGCCGUGUAAGUCAGAUGUGAAAUCCCGGAGCUCAACUCUGGAACUGCAUUUGAUACUGCGUGGCUAGAGUACUGGAGAGGAGACUGGAAUUUACGGUGUAGCAGUGAAAUGCGUAGAUAUCGUAAGGAAGACCAGUGGCGAAGGCGAGUCUCUGGACAGUUACUGACACUGAGGCACGAAGGCUAGGGGAGCAAACGGGAUUAGAUACCCCGGUAGUCC